rnacentral:ncRNA from 1 species
UUCUUCGCGGGAGGCGAUGACGCGCGGUCCUCACUCGGCCGCCGGGCCCGCGCCGAGCCACUGGCGAGACCGGCCCGCCCGCUG